AUGUUGUAUGACAGGAGGGAAUGUUAGCUCUCCCCCAGACAAAGGUGGAAGAAGCCCUUGGGCCAUACAACAGACAUGUGGCUAAGGUAUCACCACAUACUUUGUGGCAUCUAACCAUGGGUUUUC
ensembl:snRNA U6atac minor spliceosomal RNA